rnacentral:rRNA from 1 species
AGUGGCGCACGGGUGCGUAACGCGUGGGAAUCUGCCCUUGGGUUCGGAAUAACGUCGGGAAACUGACGCUAAUACCGGAUGAUGACGAAAGUCCAAAGAUUUAUCGCCCAGGGAUGAGCCCGCGUAGGAUUAGCUAGUUGGUGAGGUAAAGGCUCACCAAGGCGACGAUCCUUAGCUGGUCUGAGAGGAUGAUCAGCCACACUGGGACUGAGACAAGGCCCAGACUCCUACGGGAGGCAGCAGUAGGGAAUAUUGGACAAUGGGGGCAACCCUGAUCCAGCAAUGCCGCGUGAGUGAUGAAGGCCUUAGGGUUGUAAAGCUCUUUUACCCGAGAUGAUAAUGACAGUAUCGGGAGAAUAAGCUCCGGCUAACUCCGUGCCAGCAGCCGCGGUAAUACGGAGGGAGCUAGCGUUGUUCGGAAUUACUGGGCGUAAAGCGCACGUAGGCGGCGAUUUAAGUCAGAGGUGAAAGCCCGGGGCUCAACCCCGGAACUGCCUUUGAGACUGGAUUGCUUGAAUCCUGGAGAGGUGAGUGGAAUUCCGAGUGUAGAGGUGAAAUUCGUAGAUAUUCGGAAGAACACCAGUGGCGAAGGCGGCUCACUGGACAGGUA